AUCAACGCUGGCGGCGUGCCUCAGCCAUGCCAGUCGAACGAUUAAACUUCCCUUCGGGGAAGCUAUAAAGUGGCGCACGGGUGAGUAACACGUAGGUAAUGUACCUUUGGGUGGGGAAUAACUUAGGGAAACUUAAGCUAAUACCGCAUAAUGCAGCGGCUCCUUCGGGAGACAGUUGUUAAAGAUUUAUCGCCUAAAGAGCAGCCUGCGGCAGAUUAGCUAGUUGGUAAGGUAACGGCUUACCAAGGCUACGAUCUGUAUCCGACCUGAGAGGGUGGUCGGACACACGGACACUGAAUAACGGGUCAGACUCCUACGGGAGGCAGCAGUCGGGAAUUUUGGGCAAUGGGCGAAAGCCUGACCCAGCAACGCCGCGUGAAGGAUGAAGUCUUUCGGGAUGUAAACUUCGUAAGAAUAGGAAGAAUAAAUGACGGUACUAUUUGUAAGGUCCGGCUAACUACGUG
rnacentral:rRNA from 1 species